rfam:Nicotiana sylvestris Nsyl_contig225, whole genome shotgun sequence.
UAGUUACGAAGAGAGCUUUCUUCAGUCCACACAUGGGAGGUGAUAAGGUUCAAUUUGCUGCCGACUCAUUCAUCCAAAUGCUGAGGUUAGAUAGUCAAAAGCAUCUCAGUGGCUGAAUGAAUGAAGCGGGAGUACAAGUUGUGUCUUAAGCUUCCUGUGCUUGGACUGAAGGGAGCUCCCUUUUACCUGUUU